rnacentral:misc_RNA from 1 species
GAUGAAGAACGCAGCGAAAUGCGAUAAGUAGUGUGAAUUGCAGAAUUCAGUGAAUCAUCGAAUCUUUGAACGCACAUUGCGCCCCUUGGUAUUCCAUGGGGCAUGCCUGUUCGAGCGUCAUUUGUACCUUCAAGCUUUGCUUGGUGUUGGGUGUUUGUCUCGCCUUUGCGUGUAGACUCGCCUUAAAAUAAUUGGCAGCCGGCGUAUUGAUUUCGGAGCGCAGUACAUCUCGCGCUUUGCACUCAUAACGACAGCGUCCAAAAGUACAUUUUACACUCUUGGCCUCGGAUCAGGUAGGGAUACCCGCUGAACUUAAGCAUAUCAAUAAGCGGAGGA